rnacentral:rRNA from 1 species
AACGAACGCUGGCGGCAUGCCUAACACAUGCAAGUCGAACGAGACCUUCGGGUCUAGUGGCGCACGGGUGCGUAACGCGUGGGAAUCUGCCCUUGGGUUCGGAAUAACUCAGAGAAAUUUGAGCUAAUACCGGAUGAUGACGAAAGUCCAAAGAUUUAUCGCCCAAGGAUGAGCCCGCGUAAGAUUAGCUUGUUGGUGGGGUAAUGGCCUACCAAGGCGACGAUCUUUAGCUGGUCUGAGAGGAUGAUCAGCCACACUGGGACUGAGACACGGCCCAGACUCCUACGGGAGGCAGCAGUGGGGAAUAUUGGACAAUGGGCGAAAGCCUGAUCCAGCAAUGCCGCGUGAGUGAUGAAGGCCUUAGGGUUGUAAAGCUCUUUUACCAGGGAUGAUAAUGACAGUACCCGGAGAAUAAGCUCCGGCUAACUCCGUGCCAGCCGCCGCUGUAACAC